GGAGAGAUACCCAAGCGGCUGAAGGGUUCGGCUUCGAACACCGAUAGGCGGGUAACUCCCGCGCGGGGGUUCAAAUCCCCCUCUCUCCG
rnacentral:tRNA from 1 species